rnacentral:rRNA from 1 species
UACGGAGGGGGCUAGCGUUGUUCGGAAUUACUGGGCGUAAAGCGCGCGUAGGCGGCUUUGUAAGUUAGAGGUGAAAGCCCGGGGCUCAACUCCGGAAUUGCCUUUGAGACUGCAUCGCUAGAAUUGUGGAGAGGUAAGUGGAAUUCCGAGUGUAGAGGUGAAAUUCGUAGAUAUUCGGAAGAACACCAGUGGCGAAGGCGACUUACUGGACACAUAUUGACGCUGAGAUGCGAAAGCGUGGGGAGCAAACAGG